AACCCACACCACUGAGCCUGCUCUCCCACGAUGGAGGCUUUUCCAGCUAAGUUAAUGCAAACUAGUAAGAGAAGGUUUACAAAUGAAAGUCAGCUAAACAAAUAUACAGAAAAAAGGGGAUUAAAAAAUUUGCCUAAAGCAGCUUUGUAAAGAAGAGCUGAAAUGAUGUCAUCCUUCAAAGAAGUUCCAAUAACCAAGGUCAAGCAAGGGUACUAAUUUCAAGCAGAAGUAAUGUGAUACUCCAGGCAGGCAGGGAGCUAUGGGGAGAUGCAGUUGGAAGGGACAGAGGGAGAAGAGCUCUUUUUCUGGGUGAUGAGGAGCCAGAGACAGCGAAAAGAGGUGGGAGCCAAGAGUUCAGAACAAGCAAAUGAAACAAAAAGUCAACAUGAAAAACUCAACGUGAUCUUCUCACUUGCUUCACAUUGUGCAGCAAUAAAAGAUGG